rnacentral:lncRNA from 1 species
AGGAAACUAAUUUUCAUUGAUUUAGAAGUGUGACCAAGUCAUUUAUUUUGAUCAUAAAUUUGACAUGAUUGAGUUGAUAAAUUCAAUGUAAAGACCCAAUUUUUAGGAAUUUUAAGCAUGUUUAGUGGAAUGCGUUGGUGUUCAAGUUUGAAUAAAUCUCAAUAGAAACUUGCAUCCUGUAUGCAAAAUAUCUACACCUGUAUCAUGUGUUUUGGAAUACUUAUAGGCAAUUUUAUAAGACUUAAGGAAGCUCAAUGCUUAUCUAUCCACUUGCAAAUACCUAAAUGUAUAUUGCACACACAAAAAAAAAUAAAAUUAUUAAGAAAU